rnacentral:tRNA from 1 species
UGAGUUGUAGCUCAGAGGCAGAGUGCUUGCCUAGCAUGUGUGAGGCACUGGGUUCAAUCCCCAGCACCACAU